rnacentral:rRNA from 1 species
AGAGUUUGAUCCUGGCUCAGAUUGAACGCUGGCGGCAGGCCUAACACAUGCAAGUCGAGCGGAUGAGAAGAGCUUGCUCUUCGAUUCAGCGGCGGACGGGUGAGUAAUGCCUAGGAAUCUGCCUGGUAGUGGGGGACAACGUUUCGAAAGGAACGCUAAUACCGCAUACGUCCUACGGGAGAAAGCAGGGGACCUUCGGGCCUUGCGCUAUCAGAUGAGCCUAGGUCGGAUUAGCUAGUUGGUGAGGUAAUGGCUCACCAAGGCUACGAUCCGUAACUGGUCUGAGAGGAUGAUCAGUCACACUGGAACUGAGACACGGCCCAGACUCCUACGGGAGGCAGCAGUGGGGAAUUUUGGACAAUGGGCGCAAGCCUGAUCCAGCAAUGCCGCGUGCAGGAUGAAGGCCUUCGGGUUGUAAACUGCUUUUGUACGGAACGAAACGGUGAGCUCUAAUACAGUUUGCUAAUGACGGUACCGUAAGAAUAAGCACCGGCUAACUACGUGCCAGCAGCCGCGGUAAUACGUAGGGUGCGAGCGUUAAUCGGAAUUACUGGGCGUAAAGCGCACGUAGGCGGCUUUUUAAGUCAGGGGUGAAAUCCCGGGGCUCAACCCCGGAACUGCCCUUGAAACUGGGAAGCUAGAAUCUUGGAGAGGCGAGUGGAAUUCCGAGUGUAGAGGUGAAAUUCGUAGAUAUUCGGAAGAACACCAGUGGCGAAGGCGACUCCGCUGGACCAAGUAUUGACCGCUUGAGGUGGCGAAAGCGUGGGGAGCCAAACAGGAUUAGAUACCCUGGUAGUCCACGCCCGUAAACGAUGAUAACUAGCUGUCCGGGUUCAUAGAACUUGGGUGGCGCAGCUAACGCAUUAAGUUAUCCGCCUGGGGAGUACGGUCGCAAGAUUAAAACUCAGAGGAAUUGGACGGGGACCCGCACAAGCGGUGGAUGAUGUGGUUUAAUUCGAUGCAACGCGAAAAACCUUACCCACCUUUGACAUGUACGGAAGUCGCUAGAGAUAGCUUCGUGCUCGAAAGAGAGCCGUAACACAGGUGCUGCAUGGCUGUCGUCAGCUCGUGUCGUGAGAUGUUGGGUUAAGUCCCGCAACGAGCGCAACCCUUGUCAUUAGUUGCUACAUUCAGUUGGGCACUCUAAUGAGACUGCCGGUGACAAACCGGAGGAAGGUGGGGAUGACGUCAAGUCCUCAUGGCCCUUAUAGGUGGGGCUACACACGUCAUACAAUGGCUGGUACAAAGGGUUGCCAACCCGCGAGGGGGAGCUAAUCCCAUAAAGCCAGUCGUAGUCCGGAUCGCAGUCUGCAACUCGACUGCGUGAAGUCGGAAUCGCUAGUAAUCGUGGAUCAGAAUGUCACGGUGAAUACGUUCCCGGGUCUUGUACACACCGCCCGUCACACCAUGGGAGCGGGUUCUGCCAGAAGUAGUUAGCCUAACCGCAAGGAGGGCGAUUACCACGGCAGGGUUCGUGACUGGGGUGAAGUCGUAACAAGGUAGCCGUAA